CUACGGGACGCUCCAGUGGGGAAUAUUGCACAAUGGGCGAAAGCCUGAUGCAGCAACGCCGCGUGAGGGACGACGGCCUUCGGGUUGUAAACCUCUUUUAGCAGGGAAGAAGCGAAAGUGACGGUACCUGCAGAAAAAGCACCGGCUAACUACGUGCCAGCAGCCGCGGUAAUACGUAGGGUGCAAGCGUUGUCCGGAAUUAUUGGGCGUAAAGAGCUCGUAGGCGGUUGGUCGCGUCUGCUGUGAAAAUCCGAGGCUCAACCUCGGACCUGCAGUGGGUACGGGCAAACUAGAGUGCGGUAGGGGAGAUUGGAAUUCCUGGUGUAGCGGUGGAAUGCGCAGAUAUCAGGAGGAACACCAAUGGCGAAGGCAGAUCUCUGGGCCGUAACUGACGCUGAGGAGCGAAAGCGUGGGGAGCGAACAGGAUUAGAUACCCGAGUUAGUC
rnacentral:rRNA from 1 species